ensembl:lncRNA
UUCAUGACUGACACCUCAAUGUUACUAAAAUCUUCUAGUAUUUAAUAACUAGUAAAUGGGUGUUAAUUCUACUAGAAUAUGUUUGCUUGAAUUAAUGAUAUCUGUUUAGUAGAUUGAAGACCAUAUUUUCCUUGGACUUAAGCCGUUGAGAUGUUUUUAGUUGUAUGAUCAACAAGAACAAAAACCUUAGAUAGCUUGUUCUAGAAUUUAGAGAAUGUGUUUUCAAAUAUAUCAAUAAAAAUGAUAGAACUGAUGCAAGAAAUCCAGAAACUUAUAUUUUAUUAAUAUUUGUUUUGUGAUUUUCUUCUGUAAAGUGCCAGAGUUGGAGAAGGCAAUGGCACGCCACUCCAGUACUCCUGCCUGGAAAAUCCCAUGGACAGAGGAGCCUGGUGUGCUGCAGCCCAUGGGGUCGCUAGGAGUUGGACACGGUUGAGCGACUUCACUUUCACUUUUCACUUUCAUGCAUUGGAGAAGGAAAUGGCAACCCACUCCAGUGUUCUUGCCUGGAGAAUCCCAGGGACGGCGGAGCCUGGUGGGCUGCAUAGUCCAGUCUGUGGGGUCGCAUAGAGUCGGACACGACUGAAGUGACUUAGCAGCAGCAGCAGCCAAGUGCCAGACAAGUCCCGGUGGCUGCGCAGGCUCAGGAGGGCCUAGAGGAGCUAUCCCACGUUGAAGGUCAAGAAGGGUGGUGGUGAGAAGAUACCCUUCAUCCAAGAUAAGGAGCAGUGGCUGCGCUUUGCUGGAGCAGAUGUGAAGAGAUACCCCAUGCCCAAGGUAAGAGAAAUCCAAGUAAGAUGGUUGCAAGAGGGCAUCAGAGGGCAGACACACUGAAACCAUACUCACAGAAAACUAGUCAAUCUAAUCACACUAGGACCACAGCUUUGUCUAACUCAGUGAAACUAAGCCAUGUCCGUGGAGCAACCCAAGACAGGCGGGUCAUGGUGGAGAGGUCUGACAGAAUGUGAUCCACUGGAGAAGGGAAUGGCAAACCACUUCAGUAUUCUUGCCUUGAG